ACGUCUGGAAUUUUUCAAAGGUUCUUCUAGAUUUUUCCGCACAGAGGUGUUAGUUUUCAAAUUUCCUCUUCCGAAGCUUGUUUGGACUCUUUCUUGCUUCCGCUUGUAUCAAAUUGGGUUCCUAGCAUCAUUCCUAGAUCCAUUGGCUCAUUUAUAUCUAAGUGGACUUGAUUUUGCUAGAAGAGAGGUUGGAGGAUUUUAGUUGAGGUUUUUGAAGAAACUUUGAAUUGGCUCCCAUUCAAACCCCCC
rnacentral:lncRNA from 1 species